rnacentral:rRNA from 1 species
UACGGAGGGGGCUAGCGUUGUUCGGAAUUACUGGGCGUAAAGCGCACGUAGGCGGCUUUGUAAGUUAGAGGUGAAAGCCCGGGGCUCAACUCCGGAAUUGCCUUUAAGACUGCAUCGCUAGAAUUGUGGAGAGGUAAGUGGAAUUCCGAGUGUAGAGGUGAAAUUCGUAGAUAUUCGGAAGAACACCAGUGGCGAAGGCGGCGCGCUGGACCACUACUGACGCUGAGGAACGAAAGCUAGGGGAGCAAACAGG